rfam:Eutrema salsugineum unplaced genomic scaffold scaffold_2, whole genome shotgun sequence.
AAACCAUGGUGAGGACAUUAGAGAAUGUACUUUUUAUAACGAUAAUAAGCUUCAUAAAAAAGUUCACCUUCUUUUUGUUGGAACCUAUGAAUCUUGUCUCUAUUGAAGUUU